rnacentral:tRNA from 1 species
AGGGAGACCUCCCGACUCGUUGUUGAAAGCAAUCUGUGAUUAAACAAGAGUUGGUCAUCCCAAGGUCGUUCGGGCAUUAAGUGCUGGCUUUCAAACUAGGUCUAGGUGUGGGACAUGGGCUAUUAGCUCAGGUGGUUAGAGCGCACCCCUGAUAAGGGUGAGGUCCCUGGUUCGAGUCCAGGAUGGCCCACCACCCGGGUUGGGGGUAUGGCUCAGUUGGUAGAGCGCCUGCUUUGCAAGCAGGAUGUCAGCGGUUCGAGUCCGCUUACCUCCACUGAGCAACAGAUAGCGAUGACAGCAACUCAUCUAUCAAGCAGCGGUGCUAGGAUGGAGAGCCUGCUGGAAUCAAUUUCCAGCGAGAACCUUGAAAACUGCAUAGCAACAAAAUUUUCUGUCAGGUAGAGACGACUGAAAGCGAUUUGAAGACUGAUGUUAAGCGUUUGCUUGACAAGAGAAGUCAAAUCACUGAGCAGUCAUCACAGACACCAAUGAAUGAAAGU